AAAAAUUAAUUUAAAAAUUUAAGAUUUAAUUGUAUUUUUUAAAAUAAUAUUCUAUUUUUAUUAAUUAAGUAAAUUUUUAUAAAAAAGUAAAUUUAUUUAUAGUUAAAAGUAUUGUGAAAGAAAUAUUGAAAGAUGUAUUAUUUAGUAUAAAAGUAAUUAUUAUUUAAUGUAUUUUGUGUAUCAAAGAUUAAUAAUUAAAAAAUAUAAAUAUGUUUAUUUUCAAAAUUUUAAGAUCUAAUUUAUUAUUUUAGUUAUUAUAAUAUAAAUAUUAAUAAUAAUAAUUUAGAAAUAAAAUGUUAUUCGAUUAAAAUGAUAUUUAAUUUAAAAAGAAAUAAAUUUAAUUUAGUUAUUUUAAUUAAUUAAAUGUAAUUUAAGUUAUUAAAUUUAUUAAAAUAAUAAUAUUAUAAGAGAUAAUUUUUAUAAUAAAAAAUUAAAAAUAAAUUUAUAGGGUAAAAUAUAUAAAAUUUAAAUUUUUUAUUAUUUUAAGUUUUUAUUAAAAAAUUUUAAAUUUAAAAUUUUUUAAAAUAAAUUAAUUAAUUUAUUUUUAUUAAGUUAAAAUUUUAUAAAUGAAAAAAUAAUGUUAAUAUUAGUAUAAAAAUAUUUAUAAUUAAUAAUUAAAAGUUUGAAAAGAUAAAAUUUAAUAAUUAGGCAAGAAAUUAUUUGCUUGUUUAUCAAAAACAUGGUUUUUUGAAAAAUAAUUUAAAAUUUAACCUGCCCCCUGAAUUAUUUUAAAGGGCCGCAAUUUAAUUGUGCUAAGGUAGCAUAAUAAUUAGUUUUUUAAUUGAAAACUAGAAUGAAAGGUUGGACAAAAUAAAUACUUUUUUAAUUUUAUAAAAAUUAAAAUUUAACUUUUUAGUGAAAAGACUAAAAUUUAUUUAAAAGACAAGAAGACCCUAUAGAUUUUUAUAAUUUAAUUAAAUUUAAUUUUAAUUUAAAUUAUUUUAUUGGGGUGAUAAAAAAAUUUAAUUAACUUUUUUAUUAAAAAUCAAUAAUAUUUGAAAUUUAAUGAACUUUUAUAGAAAAUUUAGAUUAAAAUACCUUAGGGAUAACAGCGUUAUUUUAAUUUUUAGUUCUUAUAGAAAUUAAAGAUUGCGACCUCGAUGUUGGAUUAAUAUUUAUAAUAAAUGCAAAAGUUUAUUAAUUUAGUCUGUUCGACUAUUGAAAUAUUACAUGAUCUGAGUUCAAACCGGUGUGAGCCAGGUUGGUUUCUAUCUUUAUUAAAGAAAAAUAUUUUAGUACGAAAGGAAUUUAUAUUUAAAUUAAAUUUUUUUUAAAUUAUGAUUUUUAUUAAUAU
rnacentral:rRNA from 1 species